UACGUAGGGGGCGAGCGUUGUCCGGAUUUAUUGGGCGUAAAGAGCGUGUAGGCGGCCAGGUAGGUCUGGUGUGAAAACUCGAGGCUUAACCUCGAGAUGUCAUCGGAAACCAUCUGGCUAGAGUCCGGAAGAGGAGAGUGGAAUUCCUGGUGUAGCGGUGAAAUGCGCAGAUAUCAGGAAGAACACCAAUGGCGAAAGCAGCUCGCUGGGACGGUACUGACGCUGAGGCGCGAAAGCUAGGGGAGCAAACGGG
rnacentral:rRNA from 1 species